UCUUUCUCCUGUUUCCUCUUGUCUAAUGGAUCCAGAGUGUGGGCCGUGCCCGGAUGACUGGAUUCUUUUCAGACAAAAAUGCUACAUGUUUUACGACAAACCAGCUCCUUGGAAGACCUGGGAAGAAAAUCGAAGGUUCUGUCAGAAGAAUAGUUUGUAGUUUGAUUGUAAUUGAUGAUCAGCAGGAGGAGGAAUUUGUCAGUAAACACAUCAAAUACUACUAUGAUAAACACCAUUGAUACUGGAUGGGACUCAGAAAAAUUAACAACACCUGGACCUGGCUUGAUGGAUGUGUAGACACUCUUGGGUUCUGGGUGAAGGAUGUGUUCUAUGUUUAUGGACCGUAUGUACCGAUACUCCCAGAAAGAAAUCCCACAGACUGCUGGAAAGAAGUAUACUCUGGGUUUCUGAACAGAUUCAUCUGUGAGCGUAACGCUCGACUAAGAUCCAACUGACUCUUCUCUUAAAGUUUCAUGCAGGAGUGCUCAAUUAUGUAAUGAAUUUUUAUAUAUAAAUUGUAACAUCAUGACUUCAAUAAUCUGCUGGUCAUUUUGUCUCUUCAUUCUAAGUGUUUAUGAACUCUCACCUAAUGAACCUGUCUGUGUUGCACAGGCAGGGUUUGAUGUUGUUUUUGUGCAGGAACCAGAUUCUCUCAAUCAUUCCAGAGCGUUUGUCAGCAACUGACCAAUUGGCAUCGCAAGUACACACCUCUUAUCCGUAGGAACUGACCUCAGACAAUAUUGACAGUAUUUAGCAAAGCAAACACACUGCGGUCAGAGAGAUUUUGAGAAAUAAUAGAUGUUCAGUGGUGAACCUAACUAAAUGACAUUACCUAAAGCAUGCAAAGUGUCUUACUCUAUGCACAAAUUGAGUCAAAGGAAAGUUUCCACCUAGAUGGACAAAUAGUUUUAACUUUUCUUAUAUACAGUAUAUAUAAUUAAUAUAAGGCUCUACCAACAAAAAGGCUUUCAGAGCAAUAUAUAAAUAUGUGACUUUUUGCUUGUAUUUGUUUAACAACCCUGGUUGUCAUGUAUUCUGUGGAGCUCAUUGUUUGUUAUUGCUUUUUGCUCAAUUAUGUUUCUUAAAGAAAAAUAUACAUUUUUUCAUAUGUGGGCUCACUGAUAUUUUGAAAUGUGUACAUUGUAAUUGUUUUUUAAUAUAGUUUGUCAUGUUGCUUUU